GUUAAUUAUUUUUCCUUAUUUUCCUCAGACAACUAAAGAGAUGGUGGCUCGGUCCUGCGCCACCAUAGUCACACAUCCCUUUCAUGUGAUUACUUUGCGAUGUAUGGUCCAGUUUAUUGGGAGGGAAACAAAAUACAGUGGGGUGUUUGACUCCAUCGUCACAAUCUACAGAGAAGAAGGCAUGCUGGGAUUCUUUGCGUAAGUCUCACACUCCUUCUCUUUCUUUUUCUCCUUCUACUCCUCUGGUCAUAGACUUUCUGCGAAAGCAUGAACAUUUCUAGCAAGGAGUCCAAGCGUAGCAACUCUUGGCGAGAAAGAGACAGAAACUUUGAGCUUUAAGUGGGGUGUGAAAAUAUAUUGAUCAAUCCCAAAAAAUUAUAAACUAUGUAAUAUCAGUUGUAGAAUGGACAGUGAAAUGAAUACGCGUAAUCAUCAUUAAAACAUUACAAACAGGACGUUUAUCUACAGUCCAGUCCCACAUAGUUACACAGCCUGGAGAAAGGAAGACUUGUAUUUUUUAUUUCUUCUCUCACAGUAGUAUAAUGCAUGAUGAUUAUUUUUCCUAAUAUUGCUGAUGUGUUAAUGAGUCAUAUCGAGGCACUCAACAGAGCUCAGCUGUUUAGCAGUCUUAUGGCCUAUGGACAGUUUUACCCCACAGGCCAUAAGACUGCUAAACACCUGAUUUCUGUCAAG